UACAGAGGGGGCAAGCGUUGUUCGGAAUUACUGGGCGUAAAGGGCUCGUAGGCGGCCAACUAAGUCGGACGUGAAAUCCCUCGGCUUAACCGGGGAACUGCGUCCGAUACUGGAUGGCUUGAGUAUGGGAGAGGGAUGCGGAAUUCCAGGUGUAGCGGUGAAAUGCGUAGAUAUCUGGAGGAACACCGGUGGCGAAGGCGGCAUCCUGGACCAUUACUGACGCUGAGGAGCGAAAGCCAGGGGAGCAAACGGG
rnacentral:rRNA from 1 species